AGGGGAAUAGCUCAGUGGUAGAGCGUCUGCUUAGCGUACACAGGGACUUGGGUUCAAUCCCCAGUACCUCCG
rnacentral:tRNA from 1 species